CACCUUUUAAUGCAACACUACAAUUCGAGGCCAUUCGAUUCAUCACAGUGGCUGCCGCCAAUCUCACAGCUGCUUCCAGAGAUCCCACUGCUUCCAGAGAUCCCAGUCUAUCCACCCAAGCAGUUCCAUCAACAGCCACGUAUGCGACAUCCCUAGAGGCCACAAGUAACCCCACCAGCAGAUGCCCUAUAUGCAGCACUACUGCACCAUGCAGCCACCAUUUCACAAGCCCCAGAGAGCACAGGUGGCCCACCAGCCCAACUUCGGCCUUUCCAUUACUCGCCACAGCAGUUCAAUCUUUAAACGCUCAAAUGGUGCUGUAACAUGGAUGCUUGAGAGACUGCUUUCGGCUGUGCAAUGCAUCUGUUUUAUUAAAGAAACUACUUUGAAAAUUUAA